GGAAUUAAGAACGGCAUGUUGUCCUUGUAACGGGGAUCCAGCAGACUGCCACCCAGUAAUCAGCACAAGUUAGAAUGUGGGCAACUCGGCAGUCGUUGCGCAGGCACUUUGGUGACUCUAGAUAACCUCGGGCCGAUCGCACGUCCCCAUGACGGUGACGAGGCAUUCGGAUGUCUGCCCUAUCAACUUUCGAUGGCACUUUUUGUGCCUACCAUGGUGACCACGGGUAACAGGGAAUCAGGGUUCGAUUCCG